GGAAAUAGCAUUUAGUGAAGGUAGUCGCCUGGCUCUCCCCCAGUGAAGAAGGAAAAUAAAAGCUUUAUCUGAGAGGUGUUUUCCAGAAGCUGAAGGUUGAUGCUGAACUGCUGAAGCUGGAGGAGCCAGAUGACAAAGAGCAUGGUGAGGAGGAGUAUCAGGCUAUGACACACGUUAUUUUGGAAAAACUUUUCAUAUGAUUAUUUAUUUUUCUAAUCCACCAUUUUUGGAAUGAGCUGAGAUUAGCCCAACUAAUAUUAACAUCAGUUCUAGGCUUGAAUCCAAACAGACUUUUCAAGAUCUCUAAAUUCCUUCAGAGAUGCUUAGAGGGAUAGAAUGCAGCUGAAUCACAGUCUCCCAACCAGAUCUUCCUUACCCGUGGGUUUCACUCUGUCACCCAGGCUGG
rnacentral:lncRNA from 1 species